rnacentral:lncRNA from 1 species
AAGAUUUUCUUCUCCAGAGCCCAGCCUCCUUUCUCCCAGGCAGAACCAUAACAGGCCUGAGGGUGUCCUUGCAGUGGUCCACAGAGUUCACCUUCUGUUCACAGGGGUAUUUACAGACCUUAUAGUAGAAGGGUUUCCAAACAGUCUGUAUGGAAAACAUACACAGUACUACUUGGCACUGCGAGCUUUGUGAGACUCAUCUGUUGCCUGGAGGCUUGUAGUCAGAAAUAUCCAUGGAAGGGAGAGUGCGAAGUCAUUUAGAGCCAAACAGGACCGCUGGUGAGAGGAUCAUUGGGCAGUAUGAGUCAAGAGCAGAUCAAGGCUCCGUGUGCCCAGGGCCAAUGGCAGUGGCCUAUGAGGAUGUUAGACAACACAUCAAUGGAGUCACAUUCUGAGAAGCUAAAGUGUGGGCUUUGCUGUAAUGGCUGACAUUGUUGAAAUGUUCGUGCCACAGCAAGGGAACUACUUGGAAGUAGACCUGUUGUGAUAGUGCCUUCUUGUUGUAGCAAGUCAUUUAUUCAGUUAGGCUUUUCUGGACCAUUGCCCCCAUCUUCUGAAGAGGUCUGAGAUGAAGGGAUAGGACACUGCCCCUGAAAUGCUGUGAUUUGAAGAUAUUUGCACUAGAUUCUAUCCUCUCCUUUAAACUGGAGCAACUGAAUGAGAGGGGAAAAAUUAACAAGGACAGCUCAAAAUGAAAAGAAACCCAAAGUAAUGUGUUCUGAUAACAUUAUCUCCCCUCACUGCUACAUCUUUCCUCCCCCCUUCCUCCCUUCCCUCCUAGAUCUACUUUUUUUUCCUUCCUCUUAAAGGAAACUUCCAUUUUCUUAUUACCAAAUCCAACAAUUACUUCUCUUUGUUUCUCCCCAGUACUGAAUCAUAAGCUUAUUAAUCACUCAUGAGCUAGGAAUAUCUAGUAAAGAGCCUCUGCCUUGACAGUGUUGCUGGCCUUCUCUGUCCAUCACGGGUGAACAACGAGGGGUAAUAGGGAGACUAGACUGGCCCAGCUCUUAUGGAAGCCAGAGUCUGGAUUUCACACCUAUAAGGAGAUGACACCUAUUUACCCAGAACACAUAGUCUGCAGCUCAUCUUAAAAGACGCUUAGGAACAAAAGGAAGUUCCUGUGUUACAGCAAACAGAUGCGGUAGUACCCAAAGCUUACCUGUCUCUUCUCUCUCCUCUCUUCCGUCUUACUGCCAUGUCCUCUCAACGAGACUUAAACUUCAUCUCAUGAAUGGCACCAGAAGAACUAUUUGACUCCUUGGCUUCUCUCUUUUUCAGUAGGCUGGUAGCUCAUUCAAAAUUAAAACCAAGCAAAUACUAUUAGUGGCUAGCCCCCUGAGGGCUGAACAAUUUCCCAAGUGUCUUGAUGAUCCCAAUAUCUUGAUAAUCAACUCUGAUAACUUGGAAGUUUUGGCUGGCUCAGACAUCUGUCAACUUUAUUUUCAUUUUGUCUCCAUUUCCAUUUGAAUCUUAAGUGAGAGUGGAAAGGUAGAAUCAUGGGAAAGAUUGUGAGGCUGCAAUUCUAGGGUAGAGUUUGUCAGAAGUUUGUAUUAUCCCAAAUAGAAAUUUCUAUACUUACUUUCAAUUUAAUGUUACCCUGAAUAUAAUUUCUAUUACAUUUAUUGUUAUUUUUAUAAAAAUAGAGUUCAAUUACUAUGUCUAGUUGAGUGCUCUCUUUUCUAUUUUCCCACAUGGAUGCAGUACCAACCUGUUACCUAAAUAUCUUUUUAUUAUAUUGUUAAUAUGUAAUUCUACUGUAGACCAAAAAUAUAAAAACAAAUUUGCUCAUUUUAAACAUAUACAGACUCUAAUGAGUAAAGAUGAGGAGAAAAGACCAGAGAGCAGUGGUUGACUAUGUUGUUAGAAAUCAAAGAGUAGCCUUACCUAUUUUUAACCAGUGCUUGCCGUCACACCAUAGUUAGGACUAUGUUAGCAUGGCUUCUUCAUGCUUACGUUCUGCAAGCCUUGUCUGUCUGUUUCCUUUGAUGUGUUCGAGGUUGCACAAUGAUGCUAUUGUUUUUUUCUUUUGGUAAUGCCUGAUUUUAUUAUAAUGUACUUUAUCAGUCAUUUCCUUUAGAAGAAUGAGGGGGAAAGUUUUAUUUCUUCUUUUAAUUUAAAUUUUGUUUAAUGCACUGGAAAUAAAAUUGGACACAUUUCACUGUUUAAAAAUCAGAAACGAAACAAAACAAAACCCCG